rnacentral:rRNA from 1 species
GACGAACGCUGGCGGCGUGCUUAACACAUGCAAGUCGAGCGGUAAGGCCCUUUCGGGGGUACACGAGCGGCGAACGGGUGAGUAACACGUGGGUGACCUGCCCUCAGCUCUGGGAUAAGCCUGGGAAACCGGGUCUAAUACCGGAUAUGACUCCAUGACGCAUGUUGUGGGGUGGAAAGCCUUGUGCGGCUGGGGAUGGGCCCGCGGCCUAUCAGCUUGUUGGUGGGGUGAUGGCCUACCAAGGCGACGACGGGUAGCCGGCCUGAGAGGGCGACCGGCCACACUGGGACUGAGACACGGCCCAGACUCCUACGGGAGGCAGCAGUGGGGAAUAUUGCGCAAUGGGCGAAAGCCUGACGCAGCGACGCCGCGUGAGGGAUGAAGGCCUUCGGUU